rnacentral:lncRNA from 1 species
CAGAUUUAUGUUUGGGGAAUUUUUGAUCCCAUCACGUAUCUAGGCAUGUCAGGAAACGUGGAGCGCAGCUUUGGCCGUAACUGACCCAUGAAGAUUCUAAUGCAUGUUUACCCCUCGACAAGCCCCCUGUGCCUCAACAGGAUCACAUCCUUUUUUUAUGGUUAUGCCCCAUCCCCAAAAUUUCUAAAUUAGCAGCUCGGAUAAAGUCCAAAUAAUCUACUCAGCGCUUGUCAGCGAAGGUACCUCCGAACUUUUCGGGCGUCAGUUUGAAAGCCAGCCAGCGCAACGACAGGUUCAUUUGAAGUUUCGGACCGACCCGAAAGUCAAACCAAAAUGAUUAGGUACCCCGGUGCGGAACCCUGGCAAUGCAAGGGUUUGCUCUGAUGAGGGCUUGGUCAUACUUGCUCCGUCAUUCGCUUCCACAACUAUGCGUCGUUUUUCCUGUACUAUUACUGUUUUGCGUGCUUUAGAUUCCAUUCCGUGCUUACAACUAUCGGUCCUGUUAUAUCGGUCCCUAUCCCCCCAAACAUUCUGGAUGGACCGGUUGGUACCUACCAU